UACGUAGGGUGCGAGCGUUGCCCGGAUUUAUUGGGCGUAAAGGGCGCGUAGGCGGCCACGCACGUCCGUUGUGAAAUCGCCCGGCUCAACUGGGCGGGGUCAGCGGAUACGGUGUGGCUCGAGCAAGCUAGGGGGCAAUGGAAUUCCCGGUGUAGUGGUGGAAUGGCGUAGAUAUCGGGAGGAACACCAGUGGCGAAGGCGGUUGCCUGGAGCUUUGCUGACGCUGAGGCGCGAAAGCGUGGG
rnacentral:rRNA from 1 species